rnacentral:rRNA from 1 species
AACAAGGUUUCCGUAGGUGAACCUGCGGAAGGAUCAUUACCGAGUUCUCGGGCUUCGGCUCGAAUCUCCCACCCUUUGUGAACAUACCUCUGUUGCUUUGGCGGCUCUUUGCCGCGAGGAGGCCCUCGCGGGCCCCCCCGCGCGCUUUCUGCCAGAGGACCUUCAAACUCCAGUCAGUAAACGUCGACGUCUGAUAAACAAGUUAAUAAACUAAAACUUUCAACAACGGAUCUCUUGGUUCUGGCAUCGAUGAAGAACGCAGCGAAAUGCGAUAAGUAAUGUGAAUUGCAGAAUUCAGUGAAUCAUCGAAUCUUUGAACGCACAUUGCGCCCCCUGGCAUUCCGGGGGGCAUGCCUGUUCGAGCGUCAUUACAACCCUCAAGCUCUGCUUGGUAUUGGGCGCCGUCCUCUCUGCGGACGCGCCUUAAAGACCUCGGCGGUGGCUGUUCAGCCCUCAAGCGUAGUAGAAUACACCUCGCUUUGGAGCGGUUGGCGUCGCCCGCCGGACGAACCUUCUGAACUUUUCUCAAGGUUGACCUCGGAUCAGGUAGGGAUACCCGCUGAACUUAAGCAUAUCAAUAAGCGGAGGA